AACGUAGGUGGCGAGCGUUAUCCGGAAUUACUGGGCGUAAAGCGUGCAGGCGGGCUAGCAAGUGGUGUAUGAAAGCUCCCGGCUCAACCGGGAAGGGUUAUGCCAGACUGCUAGUCUUGAGUGCGAGAGAGGAGCGUGGAAUUCCGGGUGUAGUGGUGAAAUGCGUAGAGAUCCGGAGGAACCCCAGAGGCGAAGGCGGCGCUCUGGCUCGCAACUGACGCUCAGACACGACAGCAUGGGGAGCGAACGGG
rnacentral:rRNA from 1 species